CAGCAGCCGCGGUAACACGAAGGGGGCUAGCGUUGCUCGGAAUCACUGGGCGUAAAGGGUGCGUAGGCGGGUCUUUAAGUCAGAGGUGAAAUCCUGGAGCUCAACUCCAGAACUGCCUUUGAUACUGAGGAUCUUGAGUUCGGGAGAGGUGAGUGGAACUGCGAGUGUAGAGGUGAAAUUCGUAGAUAUUCGCAAGAACACCAGUGGCGAAGGCGGCUCACUGGCCCGAUACUGACGCUGGGGCACGAAAGCGUGGGGAGCAAACAGGAUUAGAUACCCCGGUAGUCCCUGUCUCUUAUAA
rnacentral:rRNA from 1 species